CAGUCGCCACGGGAAAACGAGGGGGGCAAGCGUUGUUCGGAUUUACUGGGCGUAAAGGGUGCGUAGGCGGACUGAUAAGUCAGGGGUGAAAUCCCAAGGCUCAACCUUGGAACUGCCUUUGAUACUGUUAGUCUUGAGUUCGAGAGAGGUGAGUGGAACUGCGAGUGUAGAGGUGAAAUUCGUAGAUAUUCGCAAGAACACCAGUGGCGAAGGCGGCUCACUGGCUCGAAACUGACGCUGAGGCACGAAAGCGUGGGGAGCAAACAGGAUUAGAUACCCCUGUAGUCCCUGUCUCUUAUAC
rnacentral:rRNA from 1 species